rnacentral:rRNA from 1 species
UAACACGUGGGUAACCUGCCCAAGAGAUCGGGAUAACACCUGGAAACAGAUGCUAAUACCGGAUAACAACAGAUGAUGCCUAUCAACUGUUUAAAAGAUGGUUCUGCUAUCACUCUUGGAUGGACCUGCGGUGCAUUAGCUAGUUGGUAGGGUAACGGCCUACCAAGGCGAUAAUGCAUAGCCGAGUUGAGAGACUGAUCGGCCACAUUGGGACUGAGACACGGCCCAAACUCCUACGGGGGCAGCAGGU